CCUACGGGUGGCAGCAGUGAGGAAUAUUGGUCAAUGGACGAGAGUCUGAACCAGCCAAGUAGCGUGAAGGAUGACUGCCCUAUGGGUUGUAAACUUCUUUUAUAAGGGAAUAAAGUGAGGCACGUGUGCCUUUUUGUAUGUACUUUAUGAAUAAGGAUCGGCUAACUCCGUGCCAGCAGCCGCGGUAAUACGGAGGAUCCGAGCGUUAUCCGGAUUUAUUGGGUUUAAAGGGAGCGUAGGUGGGUUGUUAAGUCAGUUGUGAAAGUUUGCGGCUCAACCGUAAACUUGCAGUUGAUACUGGCAGUCUUGAGUACAGUUGAGGUAGGCGGAAUUCGUGGUGUAGCGGUGAAAUGCUUAGAUAUCACGAAGAACCCCGAUUGCGAAGGCAGCUUACUAGACUGUGACUGACACUGAGGCUCGAAAGUGUGGGUAUCAAACAGGAUUAGAUACCCUGGUAGUC
rnacentral:rRNA from 1 species